GAACAUCCGGUUUGAAUACAUGUGUUUUCUGACUUUUCGGAUAGCCAACUCUUGUUUUUUUUGGAACUUACGACUUAUGGCAAGAGAGAAGAAAACUGUGUGACUUUAAAAGAAAACCAGUGAGAUAAAAUCAUAGAAAAUGUAUGAUGAUUCAGGAUGUGGUCAUUUGUGACAUUAAAACAGGCAUUGUCAUCACCAAUAGACGAAUUUCACAUUCCUAAGAGUUUUCUCCAAUUGUCGGCGUAUCGCUCAUUUUUCCCACUUUGUCCUUUGUCCUAUUCUGUGGAUGCCCUAAGACAGUGUCUACCCAUCACUCCAUCUGAAAUCACUUGUUCUAUGCAUAUUUCUCUCUCAAACUUAAACUACAGAGAGCCUGUGGAUAGAGGAUGAAGAGUGACCUUGGACUAAUUUUCUAGGUCAAAGAUCAUAGGUGAUGUGAAGAAAACCAGGAAACUGAUGUUGAAAGAAGUACUUAAUGACGCUUAUGAA